AUACCUUUCUCGGUCUUUUGGCUAAGAUCAAGUACUGUAUCUACUCUUAUCAGUUUAAUAUCUGAUAUGUGAGCCAUCGGCUCACUCGAAAUUAACCUUUUUUUUAUGGGGUAAAACCCGUUUCAAUAGCUUGCUAUUGGGGUCUUUCAGAGUCACCUUGGUGUUGUACUACAACCUUGGCUUGGCUCACCCCUC